rnacentral:rRNA from 1 species
UACAGAGGGGGCAAGCGUUGUUCGGAAUUACUGGGCGUAAAGGGCGCGUAGGCGGCCUUCUAAGUCGAACGUGAAAUCCCUGGGCUCAACCCAGGAACUGCGUCCGAUACUGGAAGGCUUGAAUCCGGGAGAGGGAUGCGGAAUUCCAGGUGUAGCGGUGAAAUGCGUAGAUAUCUGGAGGAACACCGGUGGCGAAGGCGGCAUCCUGGACCGGCAUUGACGCUGAGGCGCGAAAGCCAGGGGAGCGAAUGGG